GCCAGUAGUGAUAUGCUUGUCUCAAAGAUUAAGCCAUGCAUGUGCAAGUUCACCCCCUCGGAGGGGAAGACUGCGGAUGGCUCAUUAAAUCAGCCGUUGUUUGUUUGGUCCUGACCGACGUUGGAUCAUAACUGUGGCAAUUCUAGAGCUAAUACAUGCACGAUAGGCGCCGAUCCCCCGUUCCCCCUCGCCGGGGAAGGGUGUUUGGAGAGGCGUGCUUUUAUUAGACAAGACCUUUGUCCGCCCCUCUUCGGGUCGGGGGGCGAGGCAAGCCGUGUUGACUCUGGAUAACUCAUGCGGAUCGCACCGGGCGAGGGUGUGCCCGGCGACACACCAUUUAGGCGUCUGACCCAUCAGCUAGUCGGCCGGAGCUGUGCCGGCCGAGGACGCGACGGGUAACAGAGAAUCAGGGUUCGAUUCUGGAGAGGGAGCCUGAGAAACGGCUACCACUUCCAAGGAAGGCAGCAGGCGCGAAAAUUACCCACUCCCGACUCGGGGAGGUAGUGACGAGAAAUGACGGUAGGCGUCUCUUACCACGAGGCUGUCAGACUGGAAUGAGGUGAACGUAAAGCACUCCUAUGAUAUCUAGUUGAGGGCAAGUCUGGUGCCAGCAGCCGCGGUAACUCCAGCUCAACUAGCGUAUACGAAAGUUGUUGCAGUUAAAAGGCUCGUAGUUUGUGUUUAGCCCACGUGCAGCGGUCCGAGGCCCGGCUCUCGUCGUAGCCCUGGUCGUUCGGCGCUGUCGGGCUGGUCUCAGGCGGGUCUCCGUAAAGGGCGGACUGCCGCGCUCGGCUCAACGGCAACGGGGACGCGAGAACGGGGUUUGGAGCGGCAGAAAGAGGUGUCCCGGCAAGGCACCCCCCUCCCCCCGGCCGCAAGGUUGCCCCGGGUGGUCCGCCCCCUACUCGCCGGCUUUACUUUGACGAAAUUAGGGUGUUCAAGGCAGGACUGAGGAAGAGCCUGCAUAAUGUUGCUUGGAAUAAUGGGAAAGACGUCCGGCUCUUUUCUGCUGGUCUCGAGAGCAUGGAGUCACGAUGAAUAGGGGCAGUCGAGGGCGAAAGUACUCGGGCGUGAGAGGUGAAAUUUGUGGACCGCCGGAGGACUGACGUAAGCGAAAGCAUUCGCCUAGAAUGUCUCCGUUAAUCAGGAACGAAAGUUUGGGUAGCGAAGACGAUCAGAUACCGUCUUAGUCCGGACCGUAAACUAUGCCGACUGGCGAUCGGCCGGUAAUGCAACUCGCGACCCCUCAAGUUGGCUCGGCCGGCAGCCUCCGGGAAACUCGCAAGUGUCUGGGUUCCGGGGGAAGUAUGGUUGCAAAGCUGAAACUUAAAGGAAUUGACGGAAGGGCACCACCAGGAGUGGAGCUUGCGGCUUAAUUUGACUCAACGCAGGGCAACUUACCGGGGCCCGACGCCGUCAGGAUUGACAGUCCGAUAGCGCUUUCUAGAUUCGGUGGGUGGUGGUGCAUGGCCGUUCUUAGUCCGUGGAGCGAUCCGUCAGGUUGAUUCCGGGAACGGACGAGACUCUGCCCUCUCUUAUUCGGUAUGGCGGUGACAAUGAGCCGUCGGGCUAAAGGCAAACUUCUUAGAGGGACGGGUGGCGCGUGUGAGCUUCAGGAAGCGGGAGCCAUAACAGGUCUGUGAUGCCCUUUGAUGUUCGGGGCCGCACGCGUGCUACACUGAGAGAGGCAACGUGGUUGCUCGCAAGGAACCGGGUCCGCGAGGGCCUUCCGUCGUCCCGUUGGACGUGGAAACCUCCCAGUCUCUGUCGUGCUAGGGCUUAGGGGUUGAAACUGUCCCCUAUCAACGAGGAAUUCCGAGUAAGCGUUGGUCACCAUCCGGCGUUGAUUGUGUCCCUGCCCUUUGUACACACCGCCCGUCGCUACCACCGAGCUAGAGGUUUGGCAAGCCUGCCGGAGCCGGCCUGGCCGCUCCGUCGGGUCCGCGACAGGGUGAAGUGGGCGGAAGACGCGUCUCUUCCGUCCGUCCCCCUGCAGGACAAGGCGGAGCGGCAGUGUGGUACCGCGCGAAGGUAGUCGAGCUUGACCGCUUCGAGGAGGUAAAAGUCGUAACAAGGUUGCCGUAGGUGAAC
rnacentral:rRNA from 1 species